AUGUACCCAAUAGCUUGGGCAAUAGUGGAGCAAGAAACAACAGAAAGCUGGGAAUGGUUUAUUGGCCUUCUGAUCAAGGACUUGGAUAUAAAUGAUCAAGGUGAAGGCUGGGUGUUCAUUUCAGAUCAACAAAAGGUAUAG
rnacentral:rRNA from 1 species